AUUGAACGCUGGCGGCAUGCCUUACACAUGCAAGUCGAACGGCAGCGGGGGAGAAGCUUGCUUUUCCUGCCGGCGAGUGGCGAACGGGUGAGUAAUACAUCGGAACGUGCCCUGUAGUGGGGGAUAACUAGUCGAAAGAUUAGCUAAUACCGCAUACGACCUGAGGGUGAAAGUGGGGGACCGCAAGGCCUCAUGCUAUAGGAGCGGCCGAUGUCUGAUUAGCUAGUUGGUGGGUAAAGGCCUACCAAGGCGACGAUCAGUAGCUGGUCUGGGAGGACGAUCAGCCACCCUGGGACUGGGACACGGCCCAGACUCCUACGGGAGGCAGCAGUGGGGAAUUUUGGACAAUGGGCGAAAGCCUGAUCCAGCAAUGCCGCGUGUGUGAAGAAGGCCUUCGGGUUGUAAAGCACUUUUGUCCGGAAAGAAAUGGCUCUGGUUAAUACCUGGGGUCGAUGACGGUACCGGAAGAAUAAGGACCGGCUAACUACGUGCCAGCAGCCGCCGUAA
rnacentral:rRNA from 1 species